AAACUGAAGAGUUUGAUCCUGGCUCAGAUUGAACGCUGGCGGCAUGCCUUACACAUGCAAGUCGAACGGCAGCACGGGUGCUUGCACCUGGUGGCGAGUGGCGAACGGGUGAGUAAUACAUCGGAACAUGUCCUGUAGUGGGGGAUAGCCCGGCGAAAGCCGGAUUAAUACCGCAUACGAUCUACGGAUGAAAGCGGGGGACCUUCGGGCCUCGCGCUAUAGGGUUGGCCGAUGGCUGAUUAGCUAGUUGGUGGGGUAAAGGCCUACCAAGGCGACGAUCAGUAGCUGGUCUGAGAGGACGACCAGCCACACUGGGACUGAGACACGGCCCAGACUCCUACGGGAGGCAGCAGUGGGGAAUUUUGGACAAUGGGCGAAAGCCUGAUCCAGCAAUGCCGCGUGUGUGAAGAAGGCCUUCGGGUUGUAAAGCACUUUUGUCCGGAAAG
rnacentral:rRNA from 1 species